rnacentral:rRNA from 1 species
ACCCUACGGGGCGCAGCAGUCGGGAAUAUUGCGCAAUGGAGGAAACUCUGACGCAGUGACGCCGCGUGCAGGAAGAAGGUUUUCGGAUUGUAAACUGCUUUAGACAGGGAAGAAAAAAGACAGUACCUGUAGAAUAAGCUCCGGCUAACUACGUGCCAGCAGCCGCGGUAAUACGUAGGGAGCAAGCGUUAUCCGGAUUUAUUGGGUGUAAAGGGAGCGUAGACGGUUAAGUAAGUCUGGAGUGAAAGGCCGGGGCCCAACCCCGGGACUGCUCUGGAAACUAUUCAACUUGAGUGCAGGAGAGG